rnacentral:rRNA from 1 species
UGGGGAAUAUUGGACAAUGGGGGGAACCCUGAUCCAGCCAUGCCGCGUGUGUGAAGAAGGCCUUAUGGUUGUAAAGCACUUUAAGCGAGGAGGAGGGUACUGGCAUUAAUACUACCAGCUACUGGACGUUACUCGCAGAAUAAGCACCGGCUAACUCUGUGCCAGCAGCCGCGGUAAUACAGAGGGUGCAAGCGUUAAUCGGAAUUACUGGGCGUAAAGCGCGCGUAGGUGGUUCGUUAAGUUGAAUUUGAAAGCCCCGGGCUCAACCUGGGAGCUGCAUCCACAACUGGCGAGCUAGCGGAGGGCAGAGGGUGGUGGAAUUUCCUGUUUAGCGGUGAAAUGCGUAGAUAUAGGAAGGAACACCAGUGGCGAAGGCGACCACCUGGGAUCAUACUGACACUGAGGUGCGAAAGCGUGGGGAGCAAACAGG